rnacentral:rRNA from 1 species
UACGAAGGGGGGCUAGCGUUGCUCGGAAUCACUGGGCGUAAAGCGCACGUAGGCGGCUUGGCAAGUCAAAGGUGAAAUCCCUCGGCUCAACUGAGGAACUGCCUUUGAAACUGCCUGGCUUGAGGCCGGGAGGGGGUAGCGGAAUUCCCAGUGUAGCGGUGAAAUGCGUAGAUAUUGGGAGGAACACCAGUGGCGAAGGCGGCUACCUGGACCGGUUCUGACGCUGAUGCGCGAAAGCGUGGGUAGCAAACAGG